rnacentral:siRNA from 1 species
UAUGGUAAUGGUGUGAUUGUGU